UUAAGCAAUAAAGCCGAAAGGGGAAAAGGAAUGUGGCCAGAGGAGAACUGGCAGACUGUGAGGUAUGGGAGGAGACGCAGGGAACGUCCCCCUACCUACACACGGGAUGUGGGAGUGUGGAGAGGGAAGGACCGUGCAGUUCCUGCUCCUUUUAGGGAGCAGGCUCGUCCCUUCUUUCCUAACCCUAACCCUUACCCUAACCCUACCCUACCCUAACCCCGGUAACCCUAACCCUAACCCUAACCCUUCCCGGCCAAUGCAACAACUUUUACUUAUCCGAACUGAUGUUAUAUCUUGUAAAACUAUUUGUACUUCCUUUUGCGGAAUCAAACCCUGGUCUCCCACCGUGACAAGCUGUCGUGUGUUUGUCACAGCCCCCUUUUAGUCUUGGCCAUUCCACACACACCAAAGUUUCAGGUUGUGGGAGAUGUAUGGUGCGUGUGAUCAGACACUCAUCCUGGCCCGUCACUUUACUCCUCUCAGCCACUAGCCACCCCCACUGCUUUAAAUAACUCUUAUUGUACCGCAAACCUCCCCCGCCACCAAACUGUUUCUUUCAAGCCCUGGGAAAAGUCCUAUAGCUGUGAAAACAUGAAAAAAACAGCAUGAGAUGUAUGAUGGAGGAAAAAAAAAAAGGAUAUACACUCCCCGUCGGGGAAUCGAACCCCGGUCUCCCGCGUGACAGGCGGGGAUACUCACCACUAUACUAACGAGGAGAUGAUGUCAGGCCUUGAGUCCCACUGUUUUUAAGACCGGCGAGGUCCAGUGCGGGCACUUCUUGGUGAGGACCUCAGAGGAAGAGGAUGUGAAGUCUCUGAAACACAAUGAAGUGAACCACAACAGAUUUUGCUGCAGUUUGAAAAGCAGUGAAAGCAGUGGAUGGCUGUUCGUACCUGUCCACCCAGUGGAAGCCUGC